AGCGAACGCUGGCGGCAGGCCUAAUACAUGCAAGUCGAACGAACUCUUCGGAGUUAGUGGCGGACGGGUGAGUAACACGUGGGAACGUGCCUUUUGGUUCGGAAUAACUCAGGGAAACUUGUGCUAAUACCGAAUGUGCCCUUCGGGGGAAAGAUUUAUCGCCAUUAGAGCGGCCCGCGUCUGAUUAGCUAGUUGGUGAGGUAACGGCUCACCAAGGCGACGAUCAGUAGCUGGUCUGAGAGGAUGACCAGCCACACUGGGACUGAGACACGGCCCAGACUCCUACGGGAGGCAGCAGUGGGGAAUCUUGCGCAAUGAGCGAAAGCCUGACGCAGCCAUGCCGCGUGAAUGAUGAAGGUCUUAGGAUUGUAAAAUUCUUUCACCGGGGACGAUAAUGACGGUACCCGGAGAAGAAGCCCCGGCUAACUUCGUG
rnacentral:rRNA from 1 species